rnacentral:rRNA from 1 species
UACAGAGGUCUCAAGCGUUGUUCGGAUUCAUUGGGCGUAAAGGGUGUGUAGGUGGCGCGCUAAGUCGGGUGUGAAAUUUCGGAGCUUAACUCCGAAACUGCAUUCGAUACUGGCGUGCUUGAGGACUGGAGAGGAGACUGGAAUUCAUGGUGUAGCAGUGAAAUGCGUAGAUAUCAAGAGGAACACCUGAGGCGAAGGCGGGUUGCUAGGCUGAUACUGACGCUGAGGCGCGAAAGCUAGGGUAGCAAACGGG